AUUUCCGGCCCAGGGGGCUUGGCUCCCCGCGGCACGGGAUUUAGCGUUCGCGCUCCUUCCCUUCCCGUGGUCGAGCCGAGUCCUGACCUGAGGGCUGCAUCAAGAUCUUGUCAUUCCACAUCGUGGUUUCCUUUGAGGAUGUGGCUGUACCCCUCUCCCAGGAGGAGUGGGACUGUCUGAUCCCUGCUCAGAGGGGCCUCUACAAGGAUGUGAUGAUGGGGACCUAUGGGAACCUACUCUCAUUAGUAGGUGAAUGGUUAAGCAAACUGUGGUACAUCCAUACCAUGGGAUACGACUCAACAAUCAAAAGGAACUGCCCAGACUUCACCACGAUGCAAUAUAUGCAUGCUGUGAUUCUAGGAUUGAAAAAGAGGAAAUGAUUCCAAAGCAGGACAUUUCUGAAGAAUUGGAAUCCCAGAGAGCAAAAUCAGAAGAUCAUGUAAGGAAUAUUUUUAAGGAAACUGAAGAGAUGAGUAAAACUGAGGGAAAGUUAGAGAAUUGCUGGAGAAAAUAUGCAGUAGAAGGAGUUAAGAACUCAUUCUCCCAGAAGAGCAAUUUCAGAGAAAUUACCAUGAGGUAUGUGAAAACCCUCUCUAGAGAGAAUGGCCAGAAGUUCAAUGCUGUUGGAGAAAACUGCAUUACAGACUCAAAUCCUGCCAAACAUCUUAGAGGGUCUAGAGAGGAGAGUCUCCAUCCAAGUGUGUCAAGUGUAGAAAACUUGCAACAACAUGAGGACCUCAUUAACCUCCAGAGUUUCCAAUUAGGAGAAAGAGCCUAUCAGACAGAUGUGUUAGUGAAAGUGCCCAGACAGAGCUCAGUUCUUAGUGAGAAUCAGAGGAUGAAUAAUCCAGAGAGAUGGUUUGAGAGUACUGGGUGUGGAAAAACUUACAAUCAGAACAGAGCUUUUAACCAGCACCAGAGAUUUCAUAGUGGAGAGAAGACCUAUGAGCACAAUGAAUGUGGAAAAGCUUUCAGUUGGCCCUCUAUCCUCAGUAAACAUCAGAGAAUCCACACUGGUAAGAAACUCUACACAUGUGAGGAUUGUGGCAAAUCUUUCAGUGUUCACUCAUACUUUAUUCAGCAUUGUAAAAUUCACACUAGAGAAAAACCCUAUGAGUGUAUUAAAUGUGGGAAAGCUUUUAGUACACA
ensembl:lncRNA ZNF252P zinc finger protein 252, pseudogene